UUGCAUAAGAUCAUGUGCAUCUGCGCAUAGA
rnacentral:piRNA from 1 species